rnacentral:rRNA from 1 species
UACGUAGGGUGCAAGCGUUGUCCGGAAUUAUUGGGCGUAAAGAGCUCGUAGGCGGUUUGUCGCGUCUGCCGUGAAAGUCCGGGGCUCAACUCCGGAUCUGCGGUGGGUACGGGCAGACUAGAGUGAUGUAGGGGGAGACUGGAAUUCCUGGUGUAGCGGUGGAAUGCGCAGAUAUCAGGAGGAACACCGAUGGCGAAGGCAGAUCUCUGGGCCGUAACUGACGCUGAGGAGCGAAAGCAUGGGGAGCGAACAGG